rnacentral:rRNA from 1 species
UACAGAGGGGGCAAGCGUUAUUCGGAAUUAUUGGGCGUAAAGGGCGCGUAGGCGGCCAUUCAAGUGACGGGUGAAAGCCCUCGGCUUAACCGAGGAACUGCCUGUCAGACUGGAUGGCUUGAGACCGGGAGAGGUGAGUGGAAUUCCCAGUGUAGCGGUGAAAUGCGUAGAUAUUGGGAGGAACACCAGUGGCGAAGGCGGCUCACUGGACCGGAACUGACGCUGAGGCGCGAAAGCGUGGGGAGCGAACAGG